rnacentral:rRNA from 1 species
CUCCUACGGGAGGCAGCAGUGGGGAAUAUUGGACAAUGGGCGCAAGCCUGAUCCAGCAAUGCCGCGUGUGUGAAGAAGGUCUUCGGGAUUUGUAAAGCACUUUCGACGGGGACGAGUGAUGACGGUACCCGUAGAAGAAGCCCGGCUAACCUUCGUGUCAGCCGCCGCGGUAAUUC